rnacentral:lncRNA from 1 species
UAUUCUUGGUUUCUGGACCCCUGGGUUACACUGAGAAAACAGAACAUCGGUCUGGUUUUUCAACCACAGCCUAACCAAGCCUGAAUAGAGUUUGGAAAUCCAGAAUGGAUCUGUGUUGUGCUCUCAGGUUAUUCCCGAGUUACAUCACGAUUCCUCAGGCUUCCUGCUGUUCAGUGGGACUGAUGAACAGAUGUCUGUGGUGCCUAACAUCUCCUUGCUGAAGCUGUGACACAUAGAUAAUGUCAAUGUUUUUCAUCGUAUGUGCUUUAAUGGGCAACCUUAUAGCCUGGAUUGUGAUCAGCAGAGGCCCUCUUCCUUUGAGGAACCCCACAUACAACUAACUGAAGGCUUCUUGGGAUGCAGGAGGAAUGAUCUUGUGCUGCAGGUAUGGAAACGACUGCUCAGAUGUCCUCACACAGGUUCAGUGCCAUGGUCUCUUUGCACUUGUUGAACAAUUUUUCUCCCAAGUCUUCGUCUUGUCAGUCUGCACAUUUCUGAUCUUGAAAGAGGUGAGCGGUGAGGCUGCGGCUUUGCAUACAGCCUCUGCUCUGCUGGGCAGUUCCAUCAUCCAUCAUCAAAUAUACUCCUGCCUAUUAAAAGGAAGAUCUGAUGUGAAUAGGUGAUGAG